rnacentral:lncRNA from 1 species
UUUUCUCUCACGAAACACAUUAGAUGAGAGCUCUUUUCGACACAACAAUAAUAUACAAUGCAUCGAAGUGGCUAUGUUCAAUGUGUAUGAUACCGUCUAAGAUAAAAUGCAGUAAGUGUCCUCGUUCUUAAAAAAACAAAGGCUGAUACAUCAUUAUUCUUUUAAGCAAUAUGUAUGUAUUGAAUCCAUUCAUGUUUCCCGCAAAAAAAAAAAAGAAUCCAUCCAUGUGAUUUAGGCUGGUAAACCGGGUAGUGGACCGCUGUUCUGUGGGCCACCAACGAGUCAAAUCGCGAGCUCCCGCUCAAACCCUCUUCAGCCAGCCAUCGCACGAACGCGCCGCCUCUUCUCCUCGCAGAGUCCGGCCGCCCUCGCCGUCCAGCGAACCCCGCCACCAUCUCCGGCUUCGCGCCCCGCCAUCCACAUCGCGUCAAGGCAAGCCUCCCUGGCCGCCGGACCGGGCAGCGCAAUCUAUCUAUCUAUCUAUCUAUGCCCGGCCUUUGUUCCGGGGCUUUUGACGCUACUCCCUUUCCCCAUUUGCGGCAUCAAUCGUGGGUCUGCGCACACACGCGACAACAAUUCCCCGUCCCCAUCGCUCAUCAUCUUCAUCCCGGUCCCGGGAACAAGUCCACACGGCAUCCUCGGAUUAUUUCUAUAUCUGAGCGCAGGGCUGCGGUUGCCGUUUUAUUAAUUAACAUGCAUCCAUAGGCCUGCCUGCCUGCCUUUGCCGUUGGUUAUUUAAGUUAAGGUGGUGCGAUGAGUCGAGCAAGCUGAAAAAUAAAUGGGGAGCAUUAGUGGUAACACGCAGCCACGAUUGCGUCUCGGCCUUGCAAAUCUGUCCCGAAUUCACGUCCUCGCUGUGGAGCACUUCUCUAUCCUUUCAUGGUGGUGCGUGGAUCCAGCGGGCGCUGGGCUUUUCUAUCCAGGCGCCCCAGCUCACGUACGCAAUUUUGACUUGCUUCGCCGAUCACGUAACGUGUGGCGUAACGUGUUAGGGGUGCCAGCGGAUCGUCGGCGAUAUCUCAGUUACUACUAACCGGAGCAGUCAAGAAAAGGACUAGGUAAAAGAUGGGGUGGGGUGGCUUGCUUGCUUUUCGAUCACUAUUUUCCGGGGAAGCAUCAGCAUGUCAAUUUAAUCUUUGCAAGACAAGGCUGUUUUUAGUUUUAAAAACUGCCGCGCGUUGGACUAGAAUAAUACCCAAGUGGUCGUAGCCAAAGACACCACGGCCGCAAGACCGUCGUAUAGCUGAAAUUAACAAUUCUUCCUCGGGAGCAAAUUCGCGUGUGUGAACGGAGGAAAACGAAAUGCAUGUACACGGGUGUAAUUUAUAUUAUCGUCUGUGUUCCUUGUAUUGCCAUGAUGUUUGAUGAAUAGAUCGAGCAGGGGAAAGGGCAGUGGGCACCUUCACUUGUCCUCUUUCGCUUAUUGAUUUGAAAUGUAAGAAAUACAAAGAAGUCUUCAUCUGUUUUGACAAUGUCUACCAUCAUUCUAUGCAAGGUUAAAAUUGAGGCAACGACGUGUGCUACGGUUGGAGCGAAGCAUUUGGGAAAUAUUCUGCCAAGAGAGCAAUGUUAUACAAGGGCUUUAGUUUGUCUUUGUUAGCUUC